AUGUUGUGGCACAAUGUCAUCCUCUUCCUCCCCAACAUAGUCCGCAUCAUCUGGAUCCGAGGCCGACGGACUAGUGGAUGGUGCCCGCUUCUUCUUCUUGGUGGUGAUCUUCUUCUUCUUAGGUCGAGCAUGCUCAUCGGAGUCGAAUGGAGGAGAGGUAGCAUCCAUACCCCGGGAAGAAGGCUCGGUCCUAUUGGGACUGCAGUUCUUGGUCCGCGCCAUGAGGAACUCCGACGGAGGAGGAGAAGCCGUGAGCAGGAGAUCAGAGCCGGAGGUUGGAGGAGAGGGCCGGGGCAGCACCAGAGCGAUGGUCCGGCGACGGCGGAUGUGAGGCGAGAUAUGGAUAGGAACGAAAGAAGUGAGGACGUGCCCCCAAAUCCCACGCCCCUCCCUAGUUAUAUGUGGCUGCGGGCGACGGGCCGGACAUCCGGGGCUAGGCCCGGAUAUCCGGCGAGCGGAAGUCAGAGAACAGAAGAAGCAGCGCCAAUGGGCCGAACAUCCAGAAGAAUUUUCCCCAGGGCCCGGAUGUCCGGCGGGGGAGCCGGAUGUCCGGCCACUGGACAGAAGAGCAGGGCAGGGGAAGGAUUUGAAAGGGGCCAACAAGCGGGGCUGAGCGGUCCGGCGACGGGGUCGGGGGCGACGGGUGUUGGCGGCGAGCGUCGGGGCGUCGCUGCGAGGGGGGGCUCCGUGGAGGAGGGAGACGGGCGGCGGUGGCGAGUGACGGGGGCGCUGGCUCGGGCGGUGCUGGAGGCGCCCCUAAUCCGGAUCGGGAUCGAGGGGGGAGAUCAGGGAGUGGGGGUAGUGGGUGGGUGUGCACUAGGGUUUCUGGGUUCCAGGGAGGUUAGUAGAGGGGGGUUGGGUCGGCCUGGUGGGGUGGAUGACUGGGCCGGCUGGGUCGAGGCCCAGUGGGAGGAAAAGGGGUUGUUACUCAUUUUUACAACAUUAUUGAAAGGAACACACAUUAUCCAGGGUAAAGCUAGGUGGAAAAGGACCCCCUUCUACAUUGUCAUUGCUGCCCUUUAUAUAGCUAUGGCAUGGAAGGCUCCACGUGAUGUCGUCUCUGCGGAAGCGGCGACAUUACUUGAAGGUUUAAAGUUACUUCAAAGUAUGGGGCGCAAUAAUGUCUUGGUGAGGAUGGACAAUUCUGUUGUGGUUGAUGCUAUACAUCCGAAUGAGGGACAUUCUAUGAUGGUGGCUCCAGCUUUAGAUGAUUUCAGAGAGUUAUUACGAGAGUUCGGGAAGGUUACUAUUGAGCAUUGUAAUAGAGAAUCAAAUGUAGUUGCUCAUGAGCUAGUUGAGUGGGGGUGUGCAAACACACCUUCGUGUACCAUUGCUAAAUUUUUAGCAGACGAUUUGAACCUGACGUGGUCAGAUGAUGGAUCAAUGGAUGGUGAUGGUCGCCUAACUGACGUAGGACUGCUUUGUCGGAGGUCACUCCUUUUUUUUGUCACAGAAAUCCGGAGGCAGGUCGGCUGCAAUCUGAGCGGCGUGCUGAGCCCGAAUUUGCUCCAGGAGAACCGGGGCUCCGAAGUGGGCAUCGCUUACACGAUGUGGUGGGUGGCGGCACAAAGGGAAGAGAAAAUGAGAAUGUGGCUAGGGUUUUGGGGGUCGCCGUCCAAUUUAAAUAGCCAGAUUUGGCCCAUCAAGCGGCACGUUAGAGCGGCAUUUUCGCCGGACCGCCGGAGACAAGGUAACAAGACUUCUUUUUCUUUGAGAAGAAAAGGUGACAAAGACUCGGACUGCUCACAAGUCCUGGUGACCGUCUUCUUUCCCCCACAAGUCCGGCCGCUGGUUGCCGGGAUCCGCUACAAGUUCGCCGGCUUUUCACCCUUCUCUCUCCUAUUUUUCCUUGUCCACUCCCCCACUCUGGCUGCGAGGUGCGAGCAAAGGCUUUGUAUCUGA
rnacentral:rRNA from 1 species